AAUCUGCCCUUGGGGUUCGGAAUAACAGUUGGAAACGACUGCUAAUACCGGAUGAUGACGUAAGUCCAAAGAUUUAUCGCCCUGAGAUGAGCCCGCGUCGGAUUAGCUAGUUGGUGGGGUAAAGGCCUACCAAGGCGACGAUCCGUAGCUGGUCUGAGAGGAUGAUCAGCCACACUGGGACUGAGACACGGCCCAGACUCCUACGGGAGGCAGCAGUAGGGAAUAUUGGACAAUGGGCGAAAGCCUGAUCCAGCAAUGCCGCGUGAGUGAUGAAGGCCUUAGGGUUGUAAAGCUCUUUUACCCGGGAUGAUAAUGACAGUACCGGGAGAAUAAGCCCCGGCUAACUCCGUGCCAGCAGCCGCGGUAAUACGGAGGGGGCUAGCGUUGUUCGGAAUUACUGGGCGUAAAGCGCACGUAGGCGGCUUUGUAAGU
rnacentral:rRNA from 1 species